rnacentral:rRNA from 1 species
CAGUAGCCGCGGUAAUACAGAGGGUGCAAGCGUUAAUCGGAAUUACAGGGCGUAAAGCGCGCGUAGGUGGUUUGUUAAGUUGGAUGUGAAAUCCCCGGGCUCAACCUGGGAACUGCAUCCAAAACUGGCAAGCUAGAGUAUGGUAGAGGGUGGUGGAAUUUCCUGUGUAGCGGUGAAAUGCGUAGAUAUAGGAAGGAACACCAGUGGCGAAGGCGACCACCUGGACUGAUACUGACACUGAGGUGCGAAAGCGUGGGGAGCAAACAGGAUUAGAUACCCCAGUAGUCCCUGUCUCUUAUAA